rnacentral:rRNA from 1 species
UACAGAGGGUGCAAGCGUUGUUCGGAAUUACUGGGCGUAAAGCGCGUGUAGGCGGCAGUGCAAGUCGGGUGUGAAAGCCCUCGGCUCAACCGAGGAAGUGCGCCCGAAACUGCAUUGCUUGAGUACCGGAGAGGAUGGCGGAAUUCCCGAAGUAGAGGUGAAAUUCGUAGAUAUCGGGAGGAACACCGGUGGCGAAGGCGGCCAUCUGGACGGAUACUGACGCUGAGACGCGAAAGCGUGGGUAGCAAACAGG